rnacentral:rRNA from 1 species
UACGUAGGGUGCGAGCGUUGUCCGGAAUUACUGGGCGUAAAGAGCUCGUAGGUGGUUUGUCGCGUUGUCCGUGAAAAUUCCCUGGCUUAACUGGGGCGUGCGGGCGAUACGGGCAGACUGGAGUACUGCAGGGGAGACUGGAAUUCCUGGUGUAGCGGUGGAAUGCGCAGAUAUCAGGAGAACACCGGUGGCGAAGGCGGGCUCUGG